AGGGUGCAACAGGCAGGCGCAGCCACACAGCUGAAGAUAAUCUGGCCUACUCAAAUGGUGCUUCUUAAGCAGCAGGAACCCUGAAGGAGACGUCAGAUUGUUAACUAACCUGAGGGUUAUCAGACCAGCAGACUAAGCACUGGCUCUCAUGCUCUGCGAUCUUGUCUUUACUCACAUUUGCUUGCGCCUCUGUAGAGUGGAAAGGACCUCCGAGGACCCAGACCUGGUUUCUCUCUAUCUAUGUUCCGAGUCCAAGUUCGCACUUGGCUGAAGGCACUUCACUCUGCUUCCCCAAUCAAGAGUCUCCUUCAGCUUUUUGCAACCAGCAAACCCAAAGAAAGUACUAACCUUUCUUCUGGAUCAUCUGCCUGCAAGCCUCCUGCCUGUCCACCCCCUAACUUCACAUACACCACCUGGGAGGAAACCCACCAGAACAACCACCACCUCUCCGCAACCUAAGCUGUCAAACUCGGCCUCCAUGGUCUCACUCACCUUCCCCUGGAAACUCCAUUUCUUUUUAACAUGCCCCGACCAGCAGAACAUGGAUUCCCUGAUGACCCUGUUCCAUUUUCCUGUUUAUCAAUAAACCGGUUUAACUAAA